rnacentral:tRNA from 1 species
AAGACACUAGUUAAAUACGUAAUAACACCGCCUUGUCAAGGCCGAAUUGUGGGUUAGAGCCCCGCGUGUCUUG